AGCGAACGCUGGCGGCAGGCCUAACACAUGCAAGUCGAACGAACUCUUCGGAGUUAGUGGCGGACGGGUGAGUAACACGUGGGAACGUGCCUUUUGGUUCGGAAUAACUCAGGGAAACUUGUGCUAAUACCGAAUGUGCCCUUCGGGGGGAAAGAUUUAUCGCCAUUAGAGCGGCCCGCGUCUGAUUAGCUAGUUGGUGG
rnacentral:rRNA from 1 species